rnacentral:tRNA from 2 species
GGGGAUGUAGCUCAGUGGAAGAGCGCUUCUCUGGCAGGGAAGAGGUCGUGGGUUCAAGUCCCAUCAUCUCCACCA